GACGAACGCUGGCGGCGUGCUUAACACAUGCAAGUCGAACGGAAAGGCCUGCUUUCCCUUGUGGAUUGCGGGUACUCGAGUGGCGAACGGGUGAGUAACACGUGAGUGAUCUGCCCCCAACUUGGGUAUAAGCCUGGGAAACUGGGUCUAAUUCCCGAUAGGACUGCAGGGUGGUGCCUGUGGUGGAAAACGAUUUUCUAGUGGUUGGGGAUGAGCUCGCGGCCUAUCAGCUUGUUGGUGGGGUAAUGGCCUACCAAGGCGGCGACGGGUAGCCGGCCUGAGGGGGUGGACGGCCACAUUGGGACUGAGAUACGGCCCAGACUCCUACGGGAGGCAGCAGUGGGGAAUAUUGCACAAUGGGCGGAAGCCUGAUGCAGCGACGCCGCGUGGGGGAUGACGGCCUUCGGGUUGUAAACUCCUUUCGACCGCGAGGAAGCCACCUGGUUGGAGGGGUGGUGACGGUAGUGGUAGAAGAAGCACCGGCUAACUACGUG
rnacentral:rRNA from 1 species